rnacentral:rRNA from 1 species
AUUGAACGCUGGCGGCAGGCCUAACACAUGCGAGUCGAGCGGAUGAACGGAGCUUGCUCCUGGUUUCAGCGGCGGACGGGUGAGUAAUGCCUAGGAAUCUGCCUGGCAGUGGGGGAUAACGUCCGGAAACGGGCGCUAAUACCGCAUACGUCCAGAGGGAGAAAGUGGGGGAUCUUCGGACCUCACGCUCUCAGAUGAGCCUAGGUCGGAUUAGCUAGUUGGUGGGGUAAAGGCCUACCAAGGCGACGAUCCGUAACUGGUCUGAGAGGAUGAUCAGCCACACUGGAACUGAGACACGGUCCAGACUCCUACGGGAGGCAGCAGUGGGGAAUAUUGGACAAUGGGCGAAAGCCUGAUCCAGCCAUGCCGAGUGUGUGAAGAAGGCCUUCGGAUUGUAAAGCACUUUUAGUUGGGAGGAAGGGCAGUAAGUUAAUACCUUGCUGUUUUGACGUUACCAACAGAAUAAGCACCGGCUAACUUCGUG